AUUUGUACUACAAAUUCUAAGCAAUGUAUUUCCCGUUUUCAGGAGACAAUGUACAGGGUAAGAGUUGAGAACAUAGAGGAUUUUGUUCUUAAAAAGCAUACACCCAUGAAGGCAAAUUUCUGGAGUUUAUUAAAUUAAUAGCAUGAAUUGUCGUGUAAAGCUGGAAUUCAGAUCAACCAAAGAAACUUUGUGCUGCCGAAACCUCAAUUCAAGCUUGCUUUGAUCACCAAGUGUGAGGCCACGCUCAUCCCAGUCCUGGUGACUCCUGCUACGUGCAUCUAAGCAGAUGAUGAACAGUUACAUCUAAUGCAUGUCAGAAUUGCAAUGAUGUAGUUCCACGGCCCCGUGUCUGUCAACAGCACCAUUUGGAGAAAGUUUGGUUCAAAGGAAGGAAGAAUCAAAGAGACAAACAUGCAGGGCCCGUGCCUGCUGCCCUGCCGUCUUCAGCUGGUGCUGAGGUCCUUGCCGCAAAGAUGAGAGCUGGGACGUGAUGGAGACGGCAGCUCGAGAAUGGUUGACUUUCCCUGCUGGGUAAUCUUUCCUCAAGAAAAGAGAGAAUUUCUAUAGGGAAAGGAAUAAACUCUUAUCAAUU
rnacentral:lncRNA from 1 species